AUUGAACGCUGGCGGCAUGCUUUACACAUGCAAGUCGAACGGCAGCGCGGGGCAACCUGGCGGCGAGUGGCGAACGGGUGAGUAAUACAUCGGAACGUACCCAGAAGUGGGGGAUAACGUAGCGAAAGUUACGCUAAUACCGCAUACGUUCUACGGAAGAAAGUGGGGGACCUUCGGGCCUCAUGCUUUUGGAGCGGCCGAUGUCUGAUUAGCUAGUUGGUGAGGUAAAGGCUCACCAAGGCGACGAUCAGUAGCUGGUCUGAGAGGACGACCAGCCAAACUGGGACUGAGACACGGCCCAGAGUCCUACGGGAGGCAGAAGUGGGGAAUUUUGGACAAUGGGCGCAAGCCUGAUCCAGCAAUGCCGCGUGAGUGAAGAAGGCCUUCGGGUUGUAAAGCUCUUUUGUCAGGGAAGAAACGGCUGGGGCUAAUACCUCUGGCUAAUGACGGUACCUGAAGAAUAAGCACCGGCUAACUACGUGCCAGCCGCCGCAGUAACAC
rnacentral:rRNA from 1 species